CUGAGAUCCAAUCAUCACGUCCCUGCCUACUUCGCUCGGCUCAGCGCUAAACUUGCACUCCAGGUAUUCUGUCUUUGAUCUGCUCAUUUUGAAACCCUUAGACUCGAGAGCCUGUCUCCAUACCUCUAACCUCUCAAUAACACCAAUACUCGUCUCGUCUAUCAAGACUGUGUCAUCAGCAAAUAGCAUACACCAAGGCACAUCCCCUUGA
rnacentral:lncRNA from 1 species